CACCUGUGUCAGGUCUUAAUUAAAGGACAUGGUCCUCCAGUCCUAGAUAGCUUCGAUUAGAGGGUUUUUAAAGGAGGAUACAAGGAAAGAAGGAGACAUUUUGCAAUUAAGAAGAGUAACGUUAGUGACGUGGCUAUGUUGUUGUGACAAAUGAUAACGUUACUAACUAACCCAAACAACAAUAUACAUAUCCGUUUACAGGCUACUUCCAUUUUACCACAUGACUUGAAUUUGACAACAUGUUGAGGGACCAGACGAUCGGCUCCCUUGGUCUUGCUAGCAGGCGCGAGGCAGUCUGUCGAUCCUCCACACGAUGGCUGAGUACACAUUCUCAUACUUCACCGUCCCCACGGUAACCUGCAUGACUGGCUGUGACUCUGAAGCGCUGACUGACCCCAGACACGCGUUCCGGUUCAUCCUGGCCGUCAGUGACUUACGUCGUAGCAACGUCACUGUACGCGACAACUUCACCCAGUCCCCCGGUACCGGCACACGGAUCAGGACAUUCUCGCAGAGUGGCUGAGUCUCCGACACGCUGAUAAAUGACGGGAAGAUGGCUGACAUGUUGAGAAAGGCUUGGAGUUCCACGUAGGCCCCUUGGACAGUCACCACAGCUUUGACGGAGAAGGGCAACUCGGUACUUCCCAGGGCUAAUGUCUUGUAGCGCAUCAGUUCUACUCUACAGGCAUCCGGAGGAGAGAACUUGAGCAGCCGAGACCUGUGGAACUCCAAGUCGUUGAUGCACUUGUGGAAGUGGCAGUCACUGAUCUCCAUCCAGCCCUCCAGGAGGUCAUCCUGAAAGACCACAAUGAGCCGUAGCUGGCGUCGAAGCGGAGAAGCCCCAAGUCGUUGAGAGCCAGGAAGCACUCCACUGGCCCAUUGAGGAACGCCAGGCAGUGGAUCCUCGUCAUGGCCGCCCGGUCCAU